rnacentral:lncRNA from 1 species
UUGCUAUUGUCAACGGUUAUUGGUACAUCCAGUAAUUUAUUUAUUUAUUUUUUUUUUUUGUGUUUUUUACUAAACAGUCCCAAAGAUUUCGUAUCCCCAGACCGGAUCCGUGAACUGUCUGGAAGAGUGUCCAGUCUGGAGCUUCAGGUGGAAGUGGAGAGUCGUCAGAAAGAGGAGGCCAUGGCAGCAGUGGAGUCACUGAACGGUCGAGUGUCUGAGCUGGAGCUUCAGCUGCAGGAAGAGGCUCAGCACAAACAGGAGGCAGUGGAAAAAAGCCAAGCGGCCGAACAGAGGAGCGCAGAGUUGGAUGUGCAGCUCCGAACAGAAGCUCAGCACAAGCAGGAGGCCAUGGAAAAGGUGGAGAUGUUGGAGUUCAGAGUGGCAGACCUGGAGAGACGGCUGGAGGAGCAGGGACACACACAGAAGACAGACUCCGACCAGAUGACAAGAGAAUUUGCAGAAAGCGUCCAGUUGUGUGAGAGACUAUCUUCAGAGAAGGAUGCGAUCGUUGCUGAGCGGGACUACCUGAAGCAGGAGGUGGGGAUGUUCAUGGAGCAGAUUCAAAGACUGGAGAAGGAGAAGGCAGUGAUGUCACAGGAGCUGGUGGAGCAGAAGGAGACGGAGGAGUUCAAGAAGCUGGAGGAGGAGUUCAGGAAAGACCAGGAGGUGACUGUACUGACACAACACCAGUCACACAGUGGCAGAACACAUU